ACACGACUACAUUAGAUACCCCGGUAGUCCUAGCCGUAAACGAUACUCGCUAGGUGUCGGCCACGGUGCGACCGUUGUCGGUGCCGUAGGGAAGCCGUGAAGCGAGCCACCUGGGAAGUACGGCCGCAAGGCUGGAACUUAAAGGAAUUGGCGGGGGAGCACAACGACGGGUGGAGCUUGCGGUUUAAUUGGAUUCAACGCCGGAAAUCUUACCGGGACCGACAGCAACAUGAAGGCCAAGCUGAAGACUUUGCCGGAUUAGCUG
rnacentral:rRNA from 1 species